rnacentral:rRNA from 1 species
UACAGAGGGUGCAAGCGUUGUUCGGAAUCAUUGGGCGUAAAGGGCGCGUAGGCGGUCAGGUAAGUCGAAUGUGAAAGCCCAGGGCUCAACCUUGGAAGUGCAUCCGAAACUACUUGACUCGAAUCUCGGAGAGGGUGGUGGAAUUCCCAGUGUAGAGGUGAAAUUCGUAGAUAUUGGGAGGAACACCAGUGGCGAAGGCGACCACCUGGACUGAUACUGACACUGAGGUGCGAAAGCGUGGGGAGCAAACAGG